GACGAACGCUGGCGGCGUGCUUAACACAUGCAAGUCGAACGAGGCGAUUGAAAGCUUGCUUUCGAAAGUCGAGUGGCAAACGGGUGAGUAACGCGUAGACAACCUGCCUUUGAGAUGGGGACAACAGUUCGAAAGGACUGCUAAUACCGAAUGUUGUAUAUUUUCCACAUGGAAGAUAUAUUAAAGAUGGCCUCUAUUUAUAAGCUAUCGCUCAAAGAUGGGUCUGCGUCUGAUUAGCUGGUUGGUGGGGUAACGGCCUACCAAGGCGACGAUGAGCAGCCGGUCUGAGAGGAUGAACGGCCACAUUGGGACUGAGACACGGCCCAGACUCCUACGGGAGGCAGCAGUGGGGAAUCUUCCACAAUGGACGAAAGUCUGAUGGAGCAACGCCGCGUGAGUGAAGAAGGGUUUCGGCUCGUAAAGCUCUGUUGUCGGGGACGAAUGUGCAGUAUUUGAAUAAAGUACUGCAAUGACGGUACCUGACGAGGAAGCCACGGCUAACUACGUGCCAGCAGCCGCCGUAA
rnacentral:rRNA from 1 species